AGAAUUUGAUCCUGGCUUAGAGCGAACGCUGGCGGCAGCCCUCACACAUGCAAGUCGAACGAACCUUCCGGGUUAGUGGCGGACGGGUGAGUAACACGUGGGAACGUGCCUUUUGGUUCGGAACAACUCAAGGAAACUUGAGCUAAUACCGAAUGUGCCCUUCGGGGGAAAGAUUUAUCGCCAUUAGAGCGGCCCGCGUCUGAUUAGCUUGUUGGUGAGGUAAAGGCUCACCAAGGCUACGAUCAGUAGCUGGUCUGAGAGGAUGAUCAGCCACAUUGGGACUGAGACACGGCCCAAACUCCUACGGGAGGCAGCAGUGGGGAAUCUUGCGCAAUGGGCGAAAGCCUGACGCAGCCAUGCCGCGUGAAUGAUGAAGGUCUUAGGAUUGUAAAAUUCUUUCACCGGGGACGAUAAUGACGGUACCCGGAGAAGAAGCCCCGGCUAACUUCGUGCCAGCAGCCGCGGUAAUACGAAGGGGGCUAGCGUUGCUCGGAAUUACUGGGCGUAAAGGGAGCGUAGGCGGAUAGUUUAGUCAGAGGUGAAAGCCCAGGGCUCAACCUUGGAAUUGCCUUUGAUACUGGCUAUCUUGAGUUUGGGAGAGGUGAGUGGAACUCCGAGUGUAGAGGUGAAAUUCGUAGAGAUCGGGAGGAACACCAGUGGCGAAGGCGCCCUUCUGGACGGUUACUGACGCUGAGACGCGAAAGCGUGGGGAGCAAACAGGAUUAGAUACCUGGUAGUCC
rnacentral:rRNA from 1 species